ensembl:lncRNA
GAAGACCCAGCAGACUGUGAGGGGAGCCAUACCCUAGGCAAGGGGUCUUGAACUGAAAUGAAUGAGGAAAUUGAGCUGAGCAUAAAUAAGCAAAAGCCAGGAGAUGGCUAAGUCAAUAAAGCACUUGAUGCAGAAGUCUGAGUACCCGAGUUCAGCCCCUAGAACUCACAUGAAAAUGUCAGAGUGCUGCUGACUGACUUUCCCUUCUCUGUCAUCUUGGCUGUGCCUCAUGGGACCCACAUAUCUGAUGGGUCGGUCACCAAAGAGAGCCCCCAGCUCAGGACUGCAGCCUGGAGCGCUGACCUAAAGGUCACUGUCUGGGUUGCUGAGCUCCUGGAUGAACUUGCUGCCUGCCUCUUCUGCAUCACUUUCCCUAAUUUCCGGAGCCAGGGAGGGAGAGAUGACAUCACCCAGGCUCCUCCAAACCUGGGCUCUCUUGGGUGUGGAACUGUCUCUGCACUGUCUCAGAUAUCUGUGCGGCUUAAACCCAAGCAGACACUGUCCUCCACAUAGG